rnacentral:rRNA from 1 species
UCCCCUAGUAACUGCGAGUGAAGCGGGAAAAGCUCAAAUUUAAAAUCUGGCGGUCUUUGGCCGUCCGAGUUGUAGUCUGGAGAAGUGCUUUCCGCGCUGGACCGUGUAUAAGUCUCUUGGAACAGAGCGUCAUAGAGGGUGAGAAUCCCGUCUUUGACACGGACUACCAGUGCUUUGUGAUGCGCUCUCAAAGAGUCGAGUUGUUUGGGAAUGCAGCUCAAAAUGGGUGGUGAAUUCCAUCUAAAGCUAAAUAUUGGCGAGAGACCGAUAGCGAACAAGUACCGUGAGGGAAAGAUGAAAAGCACUUUGGAAAGAGAGUUAAACAGUACGUGAAAUUGCUGAAAGGGAAACGCUUGAAGUCAGUCGCGUCGUCCGGAACUCAGCCUUGCUUUUGCUUGGUGCACUUUCCGGAUGACGGGCCAGCAUCGAUUUUGACCGUCGGAAAAGGGCUAGGGUAAUGUGGCACCUCCGGGUGUGUUAUAGACUCUAGUCGCAUACGGCGGUUGGGAUCGAGGAACGCAGCGCGCCGCAAGGCAGGGGUUCGCCCACUUUCGCGCUUAGGAUGCUGGCAUAAUGGCUUUAAACGACCCGUCUUGAAACACGGACCAAGGAGUCUAACAUGCCUGCGAGUGUUUGGGUGGAAAACCCGAGCGCGUAAUGAAAGUGAAAGUUGAGACCUCUGUCGUGGAGGGCAUCGACGCCCGGACCUGACGUUCUCUGACGGAUCCGCGGUAGAGCAUGUAUGUUGGGACCCGAAAGAUGGUGAACUAUGCCUGAAUAGGGUGAAGCCAGAGGAAACUCUGGUGGAGGCUCGUAGCGAUUCUGACGUGCAAAUCGAUCGUCAAAUUUGGGUAUAGGGGCGAAAGACUAAUCGAACCAUCUAGUA